UGUCAAUAAUUAAUUUUUUUUUUUAAAAAGAGGGACGUUAUGUUGGUACCACUGUCCUUCAACGUAUGUGUGCAUGUGUUUGUUUGUGUGUGUAUGUGUGUGCGUCGAGAGAAAAGACGCCAUAUUAUAUAUUGUUUUUGUAACGACCACACAUCUGCUGUUCUCAUGUCAGACAUCAGACGUCAUCCUAUACCAGAAAGGUUAUUCAAAAAAGUUGAUCUAUUAUUUUUUUAAAGCUCGUACAAAAUUGACACAGAAUCGACAUUUUUAAAGAAGACGAUGAAUUGUUUAAAAGCAGUUAUUUUAUUAUGGACCGGCAUCAUAGUUUUCCAUGCAUCGGUGACCGCUAUUGUGGUUGGUGAUAUGGAAAUAAGUGCUGUAAAAAUAAACACUUGUAGAGGAGUGUUUGAAAGUUUUGAAGUAGAAUUUGCUUUUAUACGUAAUGAGAGGACCUAGGAACACUUGUAUUGGACGGGCGUCGAUCCAAAAAGUACUCAUGGAGCACGAGAACGUCUAAUAAUAACUUUUAAACAAUCGCCAUGUAAUGAAGAAAUACAGCGUAAAUUUCAAAAAAUUGAAUCGCCUGUAAA